rnacentral:ncRNA from 1 species
UGUCUUCAGGGCAGGGUGAAAUUCCCGAUCGGCGGUAUAGUCCGCGAGCGCAUUUGCGCAGAUCCGGUGCAACUCCGGGACCGACAGUGACAUAUCCGUUUGGAUAUGAAGUCUGGAUGAAAGAAGAUG